UUCUUCAUCACUUCGCCUGUGGAGUUUCAAGCGGCUGUCGACAAGAGUUCUAGAUUUUGUGAUCGUCGAUCGGCCUUACGAUUUCCUCACCGUAACGACACACUAAUUCCUGCUUUGCUCCCACUUCUACAUAAUUAACCCACAGAAUUGCCAGGCAAUGAAGCAAAGCAGACAAUGUCUUCAUCAAAGGUUGUUCAUGCGCAGAAGAUUGAACCGCUUACAGUUUCUGAGCUCAACCAAUUUAUUAUCAUUGCUGAUUCUCAGAUAAUUGAGUUUCUCUGCAUGGCUAGAGUGACCGGUAUCCAACAAGAUGACGGUUGGUGUUAUAUUGGAUUCUGUGGGUGUUUUAAGAAACUCGUCCGAGACGUCUCUUCCUUCACAUGUGUUACAUGUAAUGAAACAAAUGCUGUGGCAUCACUCAGGUACUGUGUGACAUUGUCCGUGUCAAACAACACUGAUACUGCAUGUUUCCUCGGUUUGAUUUGGAGAUGGCUAAACUGACUAACAUCCAAGCUGCUGAGGCUGCACAAAUUGUGGGGUAGGUGUUGAUGCCCAGGUUAAUACAGCGCUUUCUGAGUCCCUACCUGAGCAUGUUGUGAAAACCUUCACCUUCCAGCUUAAACUGAACGAAUUCAAUUUUACGUCAAAGCACCAGACCUUCACCAUAUCCCACAUAUUUCCUGAGCGAGAGCUUGCACCUAUGCCAGCCUUCGUUAUGCCUGUUUGUUCUUCAUCUAAUUUAUGACUUUGUUGCUGCUUACAAUAUAUAAAGUUUAUGUUUGUUUACAUCAUUACUAUGAAGGGGAGAAGAUCCCUGAAAAAGUGCUACCUGCAUGUUUCGCUGGGAACAGAUGGGAGAGAUGGAGAGACUAGGAAUGAUGGAGAGGAGCCAUUUACAUCUGAUGCUUCUAUACCCGAACGUUAGCAUCGACCCAAGAACCAAUGAGUGCUGGUGAGAAGACCGGGAAGAGAGCACGCGUGGAAUGAGUCCACUACUAUUGAACAACCAAAGUUUAUAUUUUUCAUAUUAUGCUUAACUAUCUUUUCCUUUCAGCUUGAAUCUUUUUCCUUA